AUACGUAGGGGGCGAGCGUUGUCCGGAAUGAUUGGGCGUAAAGGGCGCGUAGGCGGCCCGGUAAGUCUGGAGUGAAAGUCCUGUUUUUAAGAUGGGAAUUGCUUUGGAUACUGUCGGGCUUGAGUGCAGGAGAGGUAAGUGGAAUUCCUAGUGUAGCGGUGAAAUGCGUAGAGAUUGGGAGGAACACCAGUGGCGAAGGCGACUUACUGGACUGUAACUGACGCUGAGGCGCGAAAGUGUGGGGAGCAAACAGGAUUAGAUACCCUGGUAGUCCACACUGUAAACGAUGAAUGCUAGGUGUAAUAGGUAUCGACCCCUUUUGUGCCGGAGUCAACACAAUAAGCAUUCCGCCUGGGGAGUACGGCCGCAAGGUUGAAACUUAAAGGAAUUGACGGGG
rnacentral:rRNA from 1 species